rnacentral:rRNA from 1 species
AUUGAACGCUGGCGGCAGGCCUAACACAUGCAAGUCGAGCGGAUGAAGGGAGCUUGCUCCUGGAUUCAGCGGCGGACGGGUGAGUAAUGCCUAGGAAUCUGCCUGGUAGUGGGGGAUAACGUCCGGAAACGGGCGCUAAUACCGCAUACGUCCUGAGGGAGAAAGUGGGGGAUCUUCGGACCUCACGCUAUCAGAUGAGCCUAGGUCGGAUUAGCUAGUUGGUGGGGUAAAGGCCUACCAAGGCGACGAUCCGUAACUGGUCUGAGAGGAUGAUCAGUCACACUGGAACUGAGACACGGUCCAGACUCCUACGGGAGGCAGCAGUGGGGAAUAUUGGACAAUGGGCGAAAGCCUGAUCCAGCCAUGCCGCGUGUGUGAAGAAGGUCUUCGGAUUGUAAAGCACUUUAAGUUGGGAGGAAGGGCAGUAAGUUAAUACCUUGCUGUUUUGACGUUCCAACAGAAUAAGCACCGGCUAACUUCGUG